rnacentral:rRNA from 1 species
AUUGAACGCUGGCGGCAGGCCUAACACAUGCAAGUCGAGCGGAUGAAGGGAGCUUGCUCCUGGAUUCAGCGGCGGACGGGUGAGUAAUGCCUAGGAAUCUGCCUGGUAGUGGGGGAUAACGUCCGGAAACGGGCGCUAAUACCGCAUACGUCCUGCGGGAGAAAGUGGGGGAUCUUCGGACCUCACGCUAUCAGAUGAGCCUAGGUCGGAUUAGCUAGUUGGUGGGGUAAAGGCCUACCAAGGCGACGAUCCGUAACUGGUCUGAGAGGAUGAUCAGUCACACUGGAACUGAGACACGGUCCAGACUCCUACGGGAGGCAGCAGUGGGGAAUAUUGGACAAUGGGCGAAAGCCUGAUCCAGCCAUGCCACGUGUGUGAAGAAGGUCUUCGGAUUGUAAAGCACUUUAAGUUGGGAGGAAGGGCAGUAAGUUAAUACCUUGCUGUUUUGACGGUACCAACAGAAUAAGCACCGGCUAACUUCGUG